UUAAAUUGCAUCAAUUUUAAGGUACAUUAUUAUUAUUAUUUAAUUUAAAAAAAAAUUUGCAGAGUGGAGACAACGCAACAGCAAGCAUACGCAAACAGAGAGAAUCAGUCCACCCAGUUCUCCCAGAGAAAAAAGAAGACAGGAUGACAAAAAUGGACAUUCAAGUGACAUCCAGAAAAGAAAAGACUCUCUAAAAAGACGUAGACUGGAAACAAUGCGUGCCAUUGAGCAGAUCGAGAAACUUUGGGAAGGAACUAAGCAAGAGAGGACUGAGAUAGACAACAUGAGACAGAGGAUUCAGCGACAGCAAGAUGAGAUAGUCAGGAUGACCACAGAGAAAAGACAACUUGAGAGAACUAUUACUCACAUGAAAGCCGAGAUGGACGACAUCUGCGAAAGAAUGGAUCGUAAUAAAGAAGAGGUAAAUAGAGAGAGGGAGAGGACUGAGCAAAUGAGAUCUGAUCUCCAAACUGAGCAAACCACCCUAGAGCAAAUGCGUGAUGAAAUCAUCAGAGAGAGACAGAACUUGGAGAUGAUCAGAUAUGAGACUCUGAGACAGAAGGAGGAGCUGGAGAGCAACCGUGAAAGCACAAAGUACGAGUUGGAACGAAUGGAACAAAUGAAAAGUGCCAUACAAGUUCAGAUCAAUGAGAUAGAGAUGAAGAUUGAGGAAACACAGAAAGCAAAGUGUCAGAUGGAGCAGAUGAAAGCUGAAAUAGAGGAGGAGAAAAGCGAGUUGGAGAGAAAGAAGUAUGACAUCAAGAGGCAAAGAGACCAGUUUGAGCAGAUUAAAGUUGACAUACAGCAAGUAAAGAUGGAAAUGGAGCAAAGGUGGCAUGAAACAGAGAAAGAAGGGCUGGAACAGAGAGCUAUAAUCCAAAGAGAGAAAGAUGAGCUGAAAUACCUGCAAGACGAGAUUCAAAGAGCAAGAGAAGAGGUUGAAAGAAACAGAGUGUUUUCAAAACAAGAGAAUGAGAGAAUAAACCAGCUGAGCGCUCAAGCGCUUACAGAAAGCAACCUCAUUGAAAAGAAAUGGCAAGAUAUCUUAUUAAAAGAAAAGGAUCUGGAAGAGAUGAAAUAUGAAAUUGAGAGAGGUCGAGAGGAGUUGGUAAUGAAUGGAGAGCUGGUCAAAAAGGAAUGGGAAAAGAUCGGACAGGCCAAAGUGGACAUACAAAAUCACAUGAUAUCUAUGGAUACCAGAGUUGAGGAAAUAAAAAGAGAAACUGAUAGGGUGAAACAUAUGAACAUAGAGAUGCAGAAGGACAAAGAUAUUCUAGAAAAACAGAAGGAUGAUAUACGAAAAGCUAAAGAAGAAAUGGAGAAGAAGAGGUAUGAGACAGUGACAGAGGAGCUAGAGCACAGAGCUCGACUGCAGAGGGAGAGAGACGAGCUGGAGAGUUUAAGAGUAGAGAUACAAAGGGCUAACGACAUGGAGAAAGCAAAGCUACUGAAGGAGAAGGAAGAAAGUUUUAAGAUAAGAGAAGAAGCCAGACAAGAAAGAGAAAUGACAGAACUAAUCAAAGCAGAGAUCAAGGCUGAAAAAGACAGCUUGAACCGAAGACAAGAGGAGAUGCUUAGGGAGAGACAAGAGUUAGAAAGAAUUAAACGUGAGACGGACAGAGCCAAAGAGGAUAUUGAGAACAGCCAAGAAGUCACAAUCCGGGAAAAUGAGAAAAUGGAAAAAAUUAAGACUGAAAUUCAAGGACAACUUGAAGAUACUGAGAAGAAAAUUGAGGAGAUCCAAAAAACAAAAGAACAAAUGGAGGAGACAAAGGCUGAGUUGGAGGAAGAGCGGGAGGAGCUGGAAAGAAAGAGAGAAUUGGUGAGAAGAGAGACCAAACAGUGCGAGUUCCUCAGAAGUGAAAUCCUCAAGGUGAAGGAGGAAAUGGAGAGCAGGUGGCAUGAAACAGAGAAAGAGGAAGUCGAACUCAGAGUGAAAACUCAGCAUGAACUGGAAAGACUGGAAAAAUUAAGGGACGAGGUCCAAAGAUCUCAGAAAAACAUUGUGGAGAGCAGGAUGGAGCUCAUGCACUGGAAGGACAGUCUUGAAAAAUUGAAGCUUCAGGUAGAAGACGACAAACUUGCCGCUAUCAAACAGAUGGAUGAGGCUAAAGCAAAGAGAGAGGAGUUGACAAAAAUGAUAGAACAGAUGGAGAAAGAGCGAGGAGAGAUUAAUAACAGCAGAGAAAAGGCUAAAGAAGAAGCAGAUGAAAUCAAACGCACGAGAAAUGAGCUACAAAGACAAAAGGCAGAAAUAGAUAACAGGAUUAGUGUUGCAAAACAAGAAAAAGAGGAGGCAAACCAUGCCAAACUUGCAGUCCAAGAGGCUAAGAUGCUCUUAAAAAAGCAAAUGGAAGAGUCAGAAAAGAGACGGUAUGAAACCAUAACAGAGGCGUUGGAGCAAAGAGAUGAAAUACACAAAAAAACAGAGGAGUUAGAACAAAUAAAUGAAGAGAUACAAACAGCCAGACAUGAACUAGAAAAAUUGAGGCAUUCUGAAAAAGAGAACCUGCAGAAAAUGCUGGAGGAUACACAGCAAGAUAAACAGUUUGUUGAGCAAAUGAAAAUAGCUGUGCUGAAGGACAAGGAAGAUCAGGAAAAGCGUUUAGCUGAGAUGGACAAGGAGAGAGAGGAGCUCAAACAGAUUACAGUUCAGGUCCAGAACGAGAAGAAAGAUCUAGAAAAACGAAGGUAUGAAAUUAUGAGAUAUGAUGUAGAACAGAGUGCUCAAGUGCAGAGACAAAGAGAAGAACUUGAGAAGAUCAAAACUCAGCUAUUUCUGGACACAGAGACCAUGGACAGAAGUAGAGAGUUAGCGCAAAAAGAUAGAGAGAAAGCUGAACGUCUUAUGAUUGAGAUCCAGGAACAAAGAGAGGAAGUGAAUAAAAGGUUAGAGGAGACAAAACGACGAGAGGACACUUUGAGGAAGAUGAGAGAGGACAUGGAGCACGAUAGAGAAGAUCUGGAGAAGAUCCGUGUGAAAACGCAGAGAGGGAAAGACACAUAUGAAGAGGUCAAGGAUGAGAUUAACAGGGUGAGAGCAGAGAUAGAGAGGUUGUGGGAUGAGGCUGAAAAGGGAGAGCAUGAAGAACGUAAGAAGAUGAACAGGGAGAAGGGGGAGAUGAUGAGGAAGAUGGAAGCUAUGAAGGAGGAGAUGGGUGAGAUUGAAGACAUGAAGAUGGAGUUAACAAAACAGAAGAAGGACAUUGACGUAAAGAUGGAAAAGGCAAGGCUGCAAAUGACUAAUCUUGAAAAGAUGAGAGCAGACCUCCAAAAACAGAAAGAAGACAUUGAAAUUCAGAUGAUGGAAGCAAGGAGAGAGAGAUAUCAGAUGAAACUGAUGAGGACUGAGAUCUUAAAACAAAAAGAGGAUGUUGAAAGGAAAAUGGAGCUAGCAAAAGCAGAGAUGGACAAAAUGCAGCUUGUCAAACAGGAAAUACAAAGACAAAUAGAAGAGCUGGAGGAAAGGAUGCAGAAAACCAAACGAGAGAUUGGAGAGAUGGAGCUGAUGAAGAGAGAAAUGGAAGGGAAGAAGAAAGAACUUGACCAAAGGAUGAAAUUGACCAUGAGGAAGAAGGACGAGAUGGAACGACUGAGGAUGGAGAUACAAAGGGCAAAAGACGAGAUGGAACAGAAAAGAGCGGAGACGGAGAGGCAGAAAUAUGAAAUGGAGCAAGUUAAAGCUGAAAUCCAAAGAGCGAGAGAGGAGUUUGAACUUAGGAUGGAGGAGAGAGAUUCAGAAGACGAGAAAGGACAGAUGAACCUCACAAUAAUCAACCUUAUUCAGCAGAUUGAGGGGACAAGAGAAAUGGUGCGGAAAGCAAAAUUCCAGAUUGAAAGCCGAAUGGCAGGAAGUCAGAUGGAGACAACAGACCAAGAGGAGAUGAAUGCUGAGAUGCACAGGCUCAUUUUGGAGAUUGAACAAAUCCGGGAAAUGAUGCGAGGUCUUAAGGCUGAGGUAGAACACAACAAGGAAAUGAUGAAGAGAGACAGGGAUGAGAUGAGGCAAUUGAAGAAUGAAGCUCAACGAAGGAGAAGAGAGAUUGAAUACAGGGAAGAAAAGAUUAUGAGAGAACGGGACGAACUAGAACUCGUGAGAAAUAUGAUGCAGCGGCAAAGAGAAGAACUGGAGAAGAGGCUGGAGGAGACCAUUAAAGAGAAUGAUAUGGUGGAGCAGGAGAGAGAAGAUGUGAAAAAUGCUUUGGAGAACAUAGAACAGGCCAAAGAAGAAAUAAAGAGACAGAAAGAACACAUUUCUCUAGAAAAGACAGGGAAAGAAAAGGUUCAGCCUGCCAUCAUUCCAACCGAGAGCCAGGAGUAUGCAAAAACAGAAGAACCAGCUGCCAUUAAAGUGGAAGACUUUGUGAGUGAUGUACAGAAAGAAAGACAAGAACUGGAACAAUAUAAAGAAAUAAUUUUAAAAGAGAAACAUGAACUAGAGAAAACAAAGGAGGAUGUACGAGCGGUAAAGAAUGAAGCUGAAGAGAGGAUGACAAAAUUACAAGAGAUGGAAAUAGAGAUGGAAAAGAAACGAGUGAGUCUACAAAACUGGGAAAGACUGCUGCAAUCAGAGAGAGAAGAAAACCAGAGAGGUUCAGAUAUAAUAUGGAAAGAGAAGGAGCAGCUAGAUAAAAGAAAACAAGAACUAGAGAGUAUGGAAGUAAAUCUACAGAGAGAGAAAUGUGAAUUGGAAAAAGCAAGAUUGAUGGAGAUUAAACAAGUUGAUGUACAAGUCCAAACUGAUGUGAUGGAGGAUGUAGGAAAAUAUCAGAUGAUCUUGACUAUGGAGGAGCUGGAUAAAGAGCGACAAGCUCUGGAGAAUUUUAAAGAAGACUUACUUGCACAAAAAAGUACAAUUGAGAGACAACUGGCAGAAAUAAAACUGAGCAAGGAUGAAUUUUCACUCAAAGAAGCCGCACUACAAACUGCAACAAAAAACACAGCAGACAUAGAGUUACAAUUAGAGCUGCGAAAACAGGAGCUAGAACGAACAAAAUAUGAGCUGGAAAAGACAAAGCUAGAAAUACAGAAAGGAUGGGAUGACCUGCAGGCUGAGAUUACAGAAAGCAAAGAAAAAGACAACAUGAUAAGAACAGAAUUAGAAAAUGCGAGACAUGUCCUAAAUCACAUUCGACAGGAUAUAGAAAAACAAAACCAAACCAUGGAGGCUGACCUAAAAGACACUUUUGCUACAGAACUAGAAGACAUAGAAGCUCAGAGAAAAAGGAUAGAGGAUGAAAAGAGAAUGUUACAGAACAUGAAAUAUGAGCUGCAAAAAGAGUCUAGUGAUAUUGAAAGGUUAAACCAGGAUGUGCAGAAAGAAAGACAGAACAUGGAGAAAUGGGCAGAGCAGCUUAAACAAGAGAGGGAAGAGCUAGAAAAGAAAAUGUGUGAUAUGCAACAAAUACAAGCAGAAAUAGCCAGAGAAAAGAAAGAUCUAGGGAACCUGAGAGAGGAGAAUGAGCUGACACUGAAGGAGAUCAAAAAGGAGAGAGACACUCUUGAGAAAAUAAAUGAACUCAUUUUACAGAAAAACGAUAAUUUUGAGAAUGAGGUGGAGGAAAUAAAGAAAAGAGAAAAUGAACUGCAGCAAAUGCAGGCUGAUCUUAACAGACAACAAAAAUACAUGCUGGAUAUUCAGAAUAUAGUUGUAAUGCAAAAAAGUCAACUUCAGAAAAGCCAAGAUGAAAUAGCCGAAAAGCUAACACAGGUGGAAGACAUCAGGCAGGUCACACAAAAUGAAAAAGACAAUCUUGACAGAGAAAGGGCGGCUAUAAUGGAACAGAAGCAGCAGAUGGAGAGCAACUUGACAGAUGCAUUAAACAGAGAACUAGAAACUGUGGAGCUUGUGAAAAAAGAGAUACUAAAUGAGAAGCGACUUAUUGAGGACUGCAGAAUAGCUUUAAUCAGAGAUAUAGAAGAUCUGGAGCAGAAGAAAAUCAAUUUGGGUAGUCAGGCAGAGGAGAUAAAAUUACAAAGACAAAGUAUUGCAGAAGAGAAAAGCAAGUUGGAACAGACUGAAUCUGUGCUGCAACGAGUAGCUGAAGAUACAGAGAAGCUAAGACAAGAUACACUAGCUGAAAGACAGAAGCUUAAAAACACUGCUGUGCAACUUCAGAAAGAGAGAGAUGCCAUUGUGAGCUUUGCGGAGGAGACAAAAAGAAAGAGAGAAGACCUGGAUAAAAUGCAAGCUGAUGUAGAAAAGCAGGAAAAAGCAUUUGAGAUAUUGAAAGGCAUGAAGGCUGAUCUGGAAAAAAAAGCCAGUGUCAUUGAAAAUUUAAGACAAGCUGUUCAAAAUGACAUACAACACGUUAAAGACAUGGAAGCCAAAAUUCAAAAAGAAAGACAAUACACUGAUAGUCUGGUUGAAGAGAUUGAAAAGAGGUCAAAAGCACUGGAUGAGAUGCGCAUGGAGGUUGAAAAAGAAAAGCGUUAUGCUGAGUCUGAGAGAGAUGUGCUAGAACAGGAAAAGUCUAAGCUCAGAGAUCUCAAAGAUGAAUUUGCUCAGCAAAACGAACAGAACAUUAUUAUACUGGCAGAGAUAGAGAAAGAAAGAGACAAUCUUGCGCAGAUGAGUGAAACCAUAUCAAAUCAAAGGUGCAUGGUUGAAAGUGAUAAAGAAAAUUUAAGACGGAGAGAAAAUGAACUGAAACAAAAAGCAGCAGAGAUUGAAAACAAACAAAAACAAAUCGAUGAGUUGAAGAGCAGUUUAAGAAUGGAAAAGAUGCAAGUUGAGCAGAUGCAAGCUGACCAAGAUCAACAAUGGACAGUUACACAUGAAAAAAUAGAACACGUUAAGACUGCAAGAGAUAGAGACGCGACAGAUCUGGAGAAAGAGAGACAGGAAAUUGAGAAUUUGAGAGAAGAACUGAGGGUGGAAUAUGAAAAUGUGGAGCACCAAAAGAGAUAUUUAAUUGAGCAAAAAGAAGUAUUUGAAAGCCGCAUGAAAUCACUAGAAAUGGAUGAGGAAGACAUAGAGAAAAAUAAAGCCAAACUGCACAAAGAAUUUGAAAACUUGCAGUUUCAGAGGCAAUCGUUUGAGAAAGAGAUACAGCAGGUAAGAGCUGACCUUCAGAAAGAGGCUGACAAUACUGAGAGAAUAAAGAAAGAGGUGGUAGCUGAAAAGCAGAGUAUAAAAGACAUGGCAGUUCAAAUUCAACAUGAGGGAAAUGACAGAAAAGAAGUUCUGGAGAGGAUGCGCCUUGAGCUAGAAAAGCAAAAGCAAGACAUUGAGACUGAAAAAGAUAUACUAGAAAACCAGAAGUUUAAAGUGGACAAAAGCAAAAGAGAGAUAGCUAGAUCAAACGAUGAUCUUGCUGAAAAGAGAAAAAUGAAUGAUAUUGAUCGGUCAGAGAUGGAGAAACAGAGAAAUUCCCUUGAUCAAAUGAAGAUGAACAUUUCACAAGAGGAACAUGGUAUUAAAAAAGUGAAGGAAAGUUUGAGACACCAAGAAAAUGACCUGAAUAUACGUACAUCACAACUUCAUGCACAACAGAAAGAAAUAGAAGAGAUUCAGGAUGUUAUCUUGAAAGAAAAGAGUCAGCUUAGUGAAAGACAGGCUGAAAUGGAAAAGCAAAAGAGAGCAUUAGAGAAUGUGAUGGACAGACUUGAAAAAGAGAGGACUAAUGUAAUGGAAGAAAGACAAAAAGUGAAUGGCAUUGCAGAAGAACUGAAGAGGGAAAGUGAAACAGUGGAGCUGAUGAAACAAGAAGUUCUCCGCGAAAAAGAAUCUAUUGAAAACAGCAGGCAAAUACUGAACAAAGAUCUAGAGGAUAUAAAAGAAAAUAGAACCAUCUUAGCUGAGGAGUUUGAGACCUUAAACUACCAGAAACAAUUGACUGGCAAAGAAAAGCAGGAAUUUGAUAAGAUGAAAAAUGAGCUCCAACAAGAAAAGGAAGUUAUUGCUAAACUAAGGCAAGGCAUAGAAAAUGGCAGGCAGAAGGCUGAGGAAAUGACGAUCGAACUUCAAAAAGAAAAGGAAGAUAUAGAGAUUUCUUUUGCCAGGACAAGAUCAGAGGAAGGAGAUCUAAGAAAACAAAAGCAAACAAUUGAAUCUGAUAGAGACACUCUUAAAAAGGACAAGUCUGACCUGGAGAUAACUAAAGCAGAGAUAGCCAGAGCCAAAGAAGAUCUUGAGAAUCAAAUUGAAUCACAUAAAAGACAAAAUGAGGUAACAUUGGCAGAGAUACAGAAAGAGAAACACAUUCUUGAGCAGUUAAGAAUGAACAUAUCACAACAGAGAGAUGAUCUAGAAAAGGACACUGAACAAACAAGAUACAAACAAGCAGAGCUGCAAAGUGUAAAAAUGGAAAUUCAGAAAGAGCAAACAGAGAUAGAUGAGCAGAAGGUGAUGACUGCACUAGAGAAGAGUGGGCUGAAAGACAUUAAAGCUCAAAUAGAUAAACAGAAAAAAGAGACAGAUGAAACCAAAGAACAGGUUAAAAAGGAGAGGGAUGAUAUUGAGAGAGAAAAGGGAGAUUUGAAGAAUCAAAAACAACAUAUGGAGGUAAAUUUGAGGCAAGAACUAAAAAUGGAGAGUGAAAAGUUAGAGCUGCUCAGAAAGGAGAUGUGUGAUGUAAAGGAAGGAAUUGACAACUGCAGGAAAAGCAUAAAAACAGACAUGGAUACUUUGGAACAAACAAAGCUUGAUGUAGUGAAAGAGUUGGAGAAUAUUAAGCUUCAGAAACAAAUGAUUGAGGAUGAGAAAGACAGGAUUGAGCAGAUAAAAUCAGAUCUAAAAAGAGAAGCUGAAGACAUUGAAAAGAUUAAAGUAGAGACACAAAAUGAAAGACAGAAGCUUAAGGAAGCAACAACCCAACUUAAGAAAGAUAGAGAUAAUGUUGAGAGUCUUGCAGAGGAACUUGACAGGAAAAAAGUGACACUAGAAAAUAUGCAUCAGGAAACUGAAUUGCAAAGGAAAGCAAAUGAGUCUAAUAAACAGAUGCAGGAAAGGGCUCUACUUGAGCUGAAGAAAACUGUGACAGAUAUAGCAAGAGCGAAGGAGGGUCUUGAAACCCAGCUCGUUGAAGAAAGAGAAAAGAACAAGAUCACACUAGCAGAGAUACAGAAAGAAAAAUACAUGCUUCUUCUACUGAGAGAUAGUAAUUCAGAGCAACAGGACAACAUUGCAAAUGAGAGACAACAAAUGAGACUGAGAGAGACUGAACUUGAACACCUCCAAGCUCUGAUUUAUAGGCAGCAAGAUGAAAUGGAAGCCACACGAAAAGCUCUCACAAUGGAAAAAGACAGAAUUGAAAAGAAGAAAACUGAAAUAGAUCAAAAACAGAGAAAAGUAAAUGAAAUCAUGGAAUUUACAACAGGAGAAAAGGCUUGUAUUGAGAAAGAGAAAUCUGAAAUGCUAGCACAGAAACACCAAAUAGAGACUGAACUGGAGCUCUUGAAGGCAGAACUGAAUAAUGAAAAAGAAUUAAUUGAGGAAAGGACCCAAAUGUUGAAAACAUUCAAUGCUGACAUAGACGAAAAAAGAGCAGCCCUAGACAGAGAGAUAAAGCAGCUUCAAUAUCAUAAAAAAGUUAUUCAAGAUGAGACGGAUGAUUUAGUACAGAUGCAAAGACAAACUGAAGAUAUGAGAAGGUUAAAAGAAGAAACACAAAAUGAGAGACAGAGUUUGGAAAAGAUGGCUGAACAACUUCAGAAGGAGAAAGAAGGUAUUGUUCAUCUUGCUGAAGAUACAAAGAGAAAGAAUGAGAUUCUGGAUGAAAUUAAAGUAUUACAUGAGUCCAAAUUAGAAAAUCUGCAAAAAGAGAUCAGGGAAAAACAGGACAUGAUGAUUGAGCUGAGAAAGAAGUCUGAAUAUGUUGAGCUUCAGAUAAAGGAGAUAUUGACUGAAAAGGAAAUGUUGGAAAAUGACAGACAACUGCUGAAGAGAGACAUGGAAAAUCUGCAACAAAAAAUAGUUAAUGUAGACAGAGAUUCAGAGAGUCUGAAACUUGAGAGAGAAGCUUUGGAGAAUGAGAAGGAAAUGAUAAAACAGAUCAAAACUGACCUGCAACGAGAAACACAAGAGAUUGAGAAGAUCAGACUAGAAACACAACAUGAAAGACAAAAACUGGAGGAAAUGACAGCUCAACUCCAGAAAGAGAGAGAAGAAAUCAACAAUCUCAUUGAGGAGACAAAAAGAAAAGAUAUGGUCUUGGAUGAAAUGAACACAGAAACUGAAGUGAAAACUAAAGCCAUUCAAUCUGAUAGAGACAUGCUUGAGAAGGAAAAACAUGAUCUUGAGAAAAUCAAAAGUGAACUUGAUAAAGCCAAGGAGGAUCUUGAAAAAGAAAGAGAAAAGCAAGGAAUCAUACUGGUAGAGAUACAGAAAGAGAGAGCCUCGCUAAAGGAGAUGAAUGAGACCAUCACAAGACAAAUACAUGAUAUUAAAAAUCAAGAGGAACAAAUGAGACAAAAACAACAUGAACUUGAACAACUGAAAACUGAAAUUCAUAAUCAGAAACAAGAACAAGACAAUGACAGAAACAUUAUAAUAAAAGACAGAAGUCAGCUUGAUCUGAGACAAUCCGAGUUAGACAAACAACAGACAGAAGUGAGUGACAUUAUGGAAAAAAAUAGGAAUGAAAGAAAACAACUAGAUAAAGAUAAACAAGAGAUGGAAGAACAGAAACAGCAACUGAAGAAAGAAAGAGAUGAUGUUGACCAAAGCAGAAAAGAUCUGAAUGAAGACCUACAGAUGAUGACACUUCGGAAACAAGUGAUUGAAGAUGAGAAGAACAAGUUAGAACAGAUGAAGAUUGAGCUGCAAAGAGAAGCUGAUGAUAUCCGAAAGCUCAAAGAAGAAACACAAAAUGAGAGACAGAGUUUGGAAAAGACAGCUGAAGAACUUAAGAGAGAGAGAGAAGAUAUCGUUCAUCUUGCUGAUGAAAUGAACACAGAAACUGAAGUGAAAACUAAAGCCAUUCAAUCUGAUAGAGACAUGCUUGAGAAGGAAAAAUAUGAAAUGCAGAAAACUAAACAAGAACUUGAUAAAAUCAAAGAAGAUCUUGAAAAUCAACUUGCUGAGCAAGCAGAAAAGAAAGAAAUCAUACUGGCAGAGACACAGAAAGAGAGAGACAACCUAGAGGAGAUGAAGGAGACCAUCACAAGACAAAUACAUGAUAUUAAAAAUCAAGAGGAACAAAUGAGACAAAAACAACAUGAACUUGAGCAACUGAAAACUGAAAUGUAUAAUCAGAAACAGGAACUAGACAAUGACAGAAAUAUUAUAAUAACAGACAGAAGUCAGCUUGAUCUGAGACAAUCCGAGUUAGACAAACAACAGACAGAAGUGAGUGACAUUAUAGAAACAAUUAGGAAUGAAAGAAAACAACUAGAUAAAAAUAAACAAGAGAUGGAAGUACAGAAACAGCAACUGAAGAAAGAAAGAGAUGAUGUUGACCAAAGCAGAAAAGAUCUGAAUGAAGACCUACAGAUGAUGACACUUCGGAAACAAGUGAUUGAAGAUGAGAAGAACAAGUUAGAACAGAUGAAGAUUGAGCUGCAAAGAGAAGCUGAUGAUAUCCGAAAGUUCAAAGAAGAAACACAAAAUGAGAGACAGAGUUUGGAAAAGACAGCUGAAGAACUUAAGAGAGAGAGAGAAGAUAUCGUUCAUCUUGCUGAAGAUACAAAGAAAAAACAUGAGAUUCUGGAUGAAAUGAAAGUUGCAAUUCAGUCUUUAAUGGCAGAUCUACAAAGAGAGAAAAACAACCUUGAGCAAAUGAAAUUGAACAUCUCCAAACAAACUGAUGAUAUUGAAAAUGAGAAAGAGAAAAUAAGACUGAGAGAAGAUGAACUAGAACAACUAAAAGCAGAGAAUCAAAAACAACAAAGUGAACUGAAAAACCUCAAAGAAAUCAUCAUGACUGAGAAGCAGCAGCUUGAACUCAGAGAGACUGAAAUAGAAAAACAACAGAAGGAGCUGCAUGACAUUGUGGAGAUCGCAAAGAAUGAGAAGAGCAUUGCUGAAACUCAAAAAGCUGCAAUGAUUAGGGAAAAACAGGAUAUGAUGAUUGAGCUGAGAAAGAAGUCUGAAGAUGUUGAGCUUCAGAUGAAGGAGAUAUUGACUGAAAAGGAAAUGUUGGAAAAUGGUAGACAACUGCUGAAGAGAGACAUGGAAAUUCUGCAACAAAAAAUAGUUAAUGUAGACAGAGAUUCAGAGAGUCUGAAACUUGAGAGCGAAGCUCUGGAGAAUGAGAAGGAAAUGAUAAAACAGAUCAAAACUGACCUGCAACGAGAAACACAAGAGAUUGAGAAGAUCAGACUAGAAACACAACAUGAAAGACAAAAACUGGAGGAAAUGACAGCUCAACUCCAGAAAGAGAGAGAAGAAAUCAACAAUCUCAUUGAGGAGACAAAAAGAAAAGAUAUGGUCUUGGAUGAAAUGAACACAGAAACUGAAGUGAAAACUAAAGCCAUUCAAUCUGAUAGAGACAUGCUUGAGAAGGAAAAACAUGAUCUUGAGAAAAUCAAAAGUGAACUUGAUAAAGCCAAGGAGGAUCUUGAAAAAGAAAGAGAAAAGCAAGGAAUCAUACUGGCAGAGUUACAGAAAGAGAGAAAAAACCUUGAGGAGAUUAAGGAGACCAUCACAAGGCAAACACAUGAUAUUAAAAAUCAAGAGGAACAAAUGAGACAAAAACAACAUGAACUCGAACAACUGAAAACUGAAAUUCAUUAUCAGAAACAAGAACAAGACACUGACAGAAACAUUAUAAUAAACGACAGAAGUCAGCUUCAUCUGAGACAAUCUGAGUUAGACAAACAACAGACAGAAGUCCAUGAUAUUAUGGAAAAAAUAAGGAAUGAGAGAAGACGACUAGAUAAAGAAAAACAAGAAAUGGAAGAACAGAAACAGCAACUGAAGAAAGAAACAGAUGAUGUAGACCAAAGCAGAAAAGAUCUGGCUGAAGACCUAAAGAUGAUGACACUUCAGAAACAAGGGAUUGAAGAUGAGAAGAACAAGUUAGAACAGAUGAAGAUUGAGCUGCAAAGAGAAGCUGAGGAUAUCCGAAAGCUCAAAGAAGACACACAAAAUGAGAGACAGAGCUUGGAAAAGAUGGCUGAAGAACUUAAGAGAGAGAGAGAAGAUAUCGUUCAUCUUGCUGAAGAUACAAAGAAAAAACAUGAGAUUCUGGAUGAAAUGAAAGUUGCAAGUGAGUCUUUAAUGGCAGAUCUACAAAGAGAGAAAAACAACCUUGAGCAAAUGAAAUUGAACAUCUCCAAACAAACUGAUGAUAAGAACAAGACAAUGACAGAAAUAUUAUAACAAAAGACAGAAGUCAGAUUGAUCUAAGACAGUCCGAGUUAGACAAACAAC
rnacentral:lncRNA from 1 species